AACAGAUGCCACCAGCCACAAUGCAUUUACAUACGUAGGUGAAGCAGUAUUGAUCAGAAUGCACAUACUUGAUUCUGAUGGAAAUGUGUUCAUAUUUCCAUCAGAACAUUAUCAGCGAUAGGUUCAUUGUCAUCCCAAAUACUGGCUAGUCCUACUCUCGUAAUAGAAGUGGAGGUUGUGGAAAAUCGCAUGAAAAAGACUUUGUUGAAUGUGAUUUCUUACAAAAUCCUGCCUGAAACCACAAUUAUCUGUGCUUGUUAGAAAGCCUACAGUUACCUCGGUAAUCAAGGUUUCGUUUCCUGACUUAUAAAGAUUCCAAAAAUGGAGCCCAAUUUGCAGAGUUCACAGUGUCAUCAAUACGAUGAUCAGGAGGAGGAUGCAUUCCAAAGCUACAAUAAAGAAUUGUAUUUGCCACAGUCAUCUGACCUGAUGAUGAGAUUUAGUAAAGAACAUAAGAGGUGAAUGGCACAUACACAAGUGUAAAAGUAGAGUGAUGAAAAGUUCUGCUGCCCACUACUUAAAUGGUAUUUGAUAGGAAUGUGAAACUUUGGUGGUGAAUCAUGAUUCCUAUACCACAAUUUAGCGGAAAAGACAUAACCAUGCUUCCCCAUCCACCAUAUAGAUCUGACAUAUCUCCAUGUGAUUUCUUCCUGUUUCCGAGGGUGAAAAGUGCAUUGAAAGACAUUGAUAUGACAUCAUGGAUGACAUCCAAAGGGUUGUGAGGAUAGUGCUAAACCAGAAAAAUUCCAGGAAAAGACUUUUGAGAUUCCUGCAAACAGUGGGAAAAUCGUCGAGUUUGCUGGUCAAUGCCCAAGGUUCUUUUUUUGAAGAAUACUACGUGUACUGAAAGAUUUUAUCAAAUAAAGUAUGCUUUUUUAUA